rnacentral:lncRNA from 1 species
UGAUUCCUUAUAGUUCAUGAAUGAAUAACAAAAGAGUUUGCCCAAAAGUAGCUUAAAGCUAAUACUUACUUCCUCCAGAUUCCAAUACCAAAGCAAAGACAUCAACAGUCGUCUUAGGGAAAGAUUUCAGUAUAAUGGCACCCUCCAGAGCUUUGUGGAGCAUUGACGAAAGAUCCUUAGUUUCUGGAGUAUGGAUGGCAAGCAGCAAAAGUUUCAGAUACAUAGAGAACUAGUUGAGUACGGAGAGGAAGCGAGUACAAAAAGAACACCAUCACAGAAAAAAGAAGAUGGUUAACCUGACCACGAACAGGAGAAGCAAAAGUUGUAUAACUGACGUUACAAUUCAACCGCCCAUCAUUACUAUACAUCAUAGCUUUCUUACUUUCCCUGGGACCAAAGCUGAAUGAAAAAGAGAGAAAAUUCAACAUUUCAUCGUGCUCCAUUAUAAAAAGAUAAUAUCUUUAAGCAAUUUGGUAAUGGAAAGACA